rnacentral:rRNA from 1 species
AUUGAACGCUGGCGGCAGGCCUAACACAUGCAAGUCGAACGAGUGGCGGACGGGUGAGUAAUGUCUGGGAAACUGCCUGAUGGAGGGGGAUAACUACUGGAAACGGUAGCUAAUCCCGCAUACCAUCAGAUGUGCCCAUAUGGGAUUAGCUGUUUGGUGGGGUAACGGCUCACCAAGGCGACGAUCCCUAGCUGGUCUGAGAGGAUGAUCGGCCACACUGGAACUGAGACACGGUCCAGACUCCUACGGGAGGCAGCAGUGGGGAAGAUUGCACAAUGGGCGCAAGCCUGAUGGAGCCACGCCGCGUGUGUGAAGAAGGCCUUCGGGUUGUAAAGUACUGUCAGCGGGGAGGCGUUACCCGCAGAAGAAGCACCGGCUAACUCCGUGCCAGCAGCCGCGGUAAUUC